UACGUAGGGGGCAAGCGUUGUCCGGAUUUAUUGGGCGUAAAGAGCUCGUAGGUGGUUCGGUAAGUCGGAUGUGAAAUCUCCAGGCUCAACCUGGAGGGGUCAUUCGAUACUGCCGUGACUAGAGGUCGGUAGGGGAGUGUGGAAUUCCUGGUGGAGCGGUGAAAUGCGCAGAUAUCGGGAGGAACACCAGCGGCGAAGGCGGGUCUCUGGGCCGAUACUGACGCUGAGGAGCGAAAGCGUGGGGAGCGAACAGG
rnacentral:rRNA from 1 species